rnacentral:pre_miRNA from 9 species
ACUCGAUAGCGUAAAAGUUAACUCAAAUUUGUAUCGAGUUGGAACGUUUGCCUACGUUUGCCACUAGGGGCGCUGUUCCAUUUGCAUACAAAUUUGAGUUAGCUUUUACGCUAUCGA